rnacentral:rRNA from 1 species
GUCCACGCUGUAAACGAUGGGUGCUAGGUGUGGGGGGUAUCGACCCCUCCCGUGCCGAAGCUAACGCAUUAAGCACCCCGCCUGGGGAGUACGGCCGCAAGGUUGAAACUCAAAGGAAUUGACGGGGGCCCGCACAAGCGGUGGAGCAUGUGGUUUAAUUCGACGCAACGCGAAGAACCUUACCUGGGCUUGACAUGUCGGGAGUACCGAACCGAAAGGGGAGGGACUCGUAAAAUCGAGAUCCGGCACAGGUGGUGCAUGGCUGUCGU